CAGUUCGUGCAUGUUCUGCUUGCUUUAUGUUCUUGCGUGCUCACACCAAAUGGAUUUCUGAAAUGUGUGGACACAGAUAACAGCCAUCUCAUAUUUCUUUCUCGACUUAUAUAUCUAUUUAUCAGUGAUUUUACCUAUGCCCUGGCAGAUUUGCUCUAAUGGCAUCUACAGUCAUAUUGCUGUUUGCUGGAUUUAAGUAGCCCUCUUGGAUGCAGAAGCAGAUCAAUACAUACAGCUCUGCAGUAGUUGCUGAUGACCUACUAUAAAAAAUGGAGGUGAAAUGCUGAGUUGCGUGCAAUGGCAUUGUCAAGCAGUGAUCCAGAGGAGGGUCCGUCUGAGGUCCCAGAGGCAAGCUGGGGAUCACACAGUGUUUCUAGUGAUGAUUUGGAUGAUGCAGGGGUUAUUAAUACAGGCAAAAUUCAGAAGAAAGUGCUCCAACUGUUGACUGAGAUAGGGAUUCGAUUAAAGUUGCUAUAGGAUCCACAGAUGGAAAGUAUUUGAAAUUAAGCCAUCCAAUACUCAAAUGGACUUCCGAGAACUUGAGUCUGAAGGAUGAAAAUGAGAGAGCAACCUUGAACUCUCUCAAAUGGGUUAAUGGCCCAGAUGUGUUUGAAGGGGAAAUGUGGAAAGCUGCCAUUUUCUCAGUCCAUGCUUUGCCAGGUCAUCUGCGAUGAGCAUCUACGGAACAACACACAUGAAAAUAAUGUCCAAAUAUUUAAAGUAAGCUAUGGAGAAGAUGGGUGGUGGUGGCCGUAAGAAGACUUUGCUCUAAAGAUCUGUGCCAUACAGCUCUUGUUUAAAGAGCUUGUAUUUAAAAAAUGUUGAAAUAAAAAUAGGGAGUUGCACAUGUUGUC